rnacentral:lncRNA from 1 species
UUUCUUUACGAGGGCUAUGUUAUUUAGUGUGAGAAUGAGGUUUCAUCUCCUGUAUUAUGAAACCCUUCUUGAAUCCCUUAGCUCCCCUUUCUUAAGGUUUUUAGGUAUCAUAAAAGGUCCGCUAAGAAGUCUAAGCAAUGCCCAUGUUAGAUUUGAGGGCAACAUGUUUUGUGUCAAGUGUGGACUCAGUCCUCUAACCCUAGGCCUUUGGAGGCUUAGGAGGGAAGGUCCCAAUUCCAGUCUACACUACACAGCAAGUAUUGGGAUACCUCGGGCUAAAUGUUCAUUAAAUAAAGGAAUCGUUUUUGCUUAGAGAUCGAUUUGUAUCACGCGUUCUUUUGAAACCUGUAACCUGACUUCAGUCUUUACCUGUGGAAAUCAUAUGCCCAAUAUUUUAGUCAUCACUGUGCAUUGCUGUGACAGAAGACCUGGCCUAACUUCAGGGAAAAGGUGUAUUUUAUUUCAUCUUAUAGUUUGAGCAAUGUCAGGCCAUGGUCAGCUGGCUCCACUGCGUGGAGGCCUGUAGCAGGCAGAAACACUGCAAGAGGCCACGUCCCAGGAAAGCCACUCACUAAUGCCUGUCGGGAAGCAAAGAGACAGGCAGGGGCUAAGGCCAUGGUACUUCAGGGACAUACUCCAGCCACCUGCUUCUAGUCUGUCCCCUACCUCCUGGUAGCUCACUCAGCUCUAAGUGCAUGGUGCAGUCCAUUGAUAAAGUCCUCAUGCUCCGGUAACCGUCUCGGGACACCACCAGCACACGGCCAGGCUUUAAACAUUUGAGCCUUUUGGAGACAGUUCAUAGCCAGACCUUAAUGCCCAUGCUAGACUAUGUGCCUGACCCAGUGUCAUGAUGGAAAAAGAAUUUCUGAG